rnacentral:rRNA from 1 species
GAGGGGGGUGCAAACGUUAUUCGGAUUUACUGGGUGUAAAGGGUGUGUAGACGGGUUGUUAAGUUCGUUGUUAAAUCUUCCGGGCCUAACCGGGAAGCUCGCGAUGGAAACUGGCAGUCUUGAGGAUGGAAGAGAGAAGUGGAAUUCUCGGAGUAGCGGUAAAAUGCGUAGAUCUCGAGAGGAACACCGAUGGCGAAGGCAGCUUCUUGGUCCAUUCCUGACGUUGAGACACGAAAGCGUGGGGAGCAAACAGGAUUAGAUACCCUGGUAGUCCACGCUGUAAACGAUGAUCACUAGAUGUUGGCCCUGUUUUGCAGGGUUAGUAUCGAAGCUAACGCGUUAAGUGAUCCACCUGGGAACUACGAUCGCAAGAUU